rnacentral:rRNA from 1 species
AUUGAACGCCGGCGGCAUGCUUUACACAUGCAAGUCGAACGGUAACAGGGAGCUUGCUCCGCUGACGAGUGGCGAACGGGUGAGUAAUGCGUCGGAACGUGCCGAGUAGUGGGGGAUAACGCGUCGAAAGGUGUGCUAAUACCGCAUACGAACUGAGGUUGAAAGUGGGGGACCUUCGGGCCUCACGCUAUUCGAGCGGCCGACGUCUGAUUAGCUAGUUGGUGAGGUAAAGGCUCACCAAGGCGACGAUCAGUAGCGGGUCUGAGAGGAUGAUCCGCGACACUGGGACUGAGACACGGCCCAGACUCCUACGGGAGGCAGCAGUGGGGAAUUUUGGACAAUGGGCGCAAGCCUGAUCCAGCCAUGCCGCGUGUCUGAAGAAGGCCUUCGGGUUGUAAAGGACUUUUGUCCGGGAGCAAAUGCUGGUGGCUAACAUCCACCGGAGCUGAGAGUACCGGAAGAAUAAGCACCGGCUAACUACGUGCCAGCCGCCGCUGUAACAC